GAUGAACGCUGGCGGCGUGCUUAACACAUGCAAGUCGAGCGAAGCACUUACCAUUGACUCUUCGGAAGAUUUGGUAAAUGACUGAGCGGCGGACGGGUGAGUAACGCGUGGGCAACCUGCCUCAUACAGGGGAAUAACAGUUAGAAAUGGCUGCUAAUGCCGCAUAAGCGCACAGUACCGCAUGGUACGGUGUGAAAAACCGAGGUGGUAUGAGAUGGACCCGCGUCUGAUUAGGUAGUUGGUGGGGUAAUGGCCUACCAAGCCGACGAUCAGUAGCCGGCCUGAGAGGGUGAACGGCCACAUUGGGACUGAGACACGGCCCAGACUCCUACGGGAGGCAGCAGUGGGGAAUAUUGCACAAUGGGGGAAACCCUGAUGCAGCGACGCCGCGUGAAGGAAGAAGUAUCUCGGUA
rnacentral:rRNA from 1 species